rnacentral:rRNA from 1 species
AUUGAACGCUGGCGGCAGGCCUAACACAUGCAAGUCGAACGAGUGGCGGACGGGUGAGUAAUGUAUGGGAAACUGCCUGAUGGAGGGGGAUAACUACUGGAAACGGUAGCUAAUACCUCAUACCAUCAGAUGUGCCCAGAUGGGCUUAGCUAGGUGGUGGGGUAACGGCUCACCAAGGCGACGAUCCCUAGCUGAUCUGAGCGGAUGACCAGCCACGCUGGAACUGAAACACGGUCCAGACUCCUACGUCAGGCAGCAGUGGGGAAUAGUGCACAAUGGGCGCAAGCCUGAUGCAGCCAUGCCGCGGGUAUGAAGAAGGCCUGCGGGUUGUAAAGUACUUUCAGCGGGGAGUCGUUACCCGCAGAAGAAGCACCGGCUAACUCCGUGCCAGCAGCCGCGGUAAUAC